rnacentral:rRNA from 1 species
AACGAACGCUGGCGGCAGGCUUAACACAUGCAAGUCGAACGGGUGUAGCAAUACAUCAGUGGCAGACGGGUGAGUAACACGUGGGAACCUUCCUAGGGGUACGGGACAACUCAGGGAAACUUGAGCUAAUACCGUAUACGUCCGUGAGGAGAAAGAUUUAUCGCCCUUAGACGGGCCCGCGGCGGAUUAGCUAGUUGGUGGGGUAACGGCCUACCAAGGCGACGAUCCGUAGCUGAUCUUAGAGGAUGAUCAGCCACACUGGGACUGAGACACGGCCCAGACUCCGACGGGAGGCAGCAGUGGGGAAUCUUGGACAAUGGGCGCAAGACUGAUCCAGCCAUGCCGCGUGAGUGAAGAAGGUCUUCGGAUUGUAAAGCUCUUUUGCCAGGGACGAUAAUGACGGUACCUGGAGAAUAAGCCCCGGCAAACUUCGUGCCAGCCGCCGCCGUAAAAC